AUCACCUGGGCAUCUGGGUAAAAUGCAGAUUCUGAUUCAGUAGGUGUGGGGUGGGGCCUCAGAUUCUGCAUUUCUAACAAGCUCCUGGGUGAUGCUGA
rnacentral:pre_miRNA from 1 species